rnacentral:rRNA from 1 species
UAGCAUAUCAAUAAGCGGAGGAAAAGAAACCAACAGGGAUUGCCCUAGUAACGGCGAGUGAAGCGGCAACAGCUCAAAUUUGAAAUCUGGCCCUCGUGGUCCGAGUUGUAAUUUGUAGAGGAUGCUUUUGGUUAGGUGCCUUCCGAGUUCCCUGGAACGGGACGCCAUAGAGGGUGAGAGCCCCGUCUGGUUGGACACCGAGCCUCUGUAAAGCUCCUUCGACGAGUCGAGUAGUUUGGGAAUGCUGCUCUAAAUGGGAGGUAUAUGUCUUCUAAAGCUAAAUAUUGGCCAGAGACCGAUAGCGCACAAGUAGAGUGAUCGAAAGAUGAAAAGCACUUUGAAAAGAGGGUUAAAAAGUACGUGAAAUUGUUGAAAGGGAAGCGCUUGUGACCAGACUUGGGCCCGGUCAAUCAUCCAGGGUUCUCCCUGGUGCACUUGGCCGGCCCAGGCCAGCAUCAGUUUGUCGCGGGGGAUAAAGACGUUGGGAAUGUGGCUCCUCCGGGAGUGUUAUAGCCCUUCGUGUAAUACCCUGCUUCGGACUGAGGUUCGCGCAUCUGCAAGGAUGCUGGCGUAAUGGUCAUCAGCGACCCGUCUUGAAACACGGACCAAGGAGUCGUCUUCGUAUGCGAGUGUUCGGGUGUCAAACCCCUACGCGUAAUGAAAGUGAACGCAGGUGAGAGCUUCGGCGCAUCAUCGACCGAUCCUGAUGUUCUCGGAUGGAUUUGAGUAAGAGCAUACGGGGCCGGACCCGAAAGAAGGUGAACUAUGCCUGUAUAGGGUGAAGCCAGAGGAAACUCUGGUGGAGGCUCGCAGCGGUUCUGACGUGCAAAUCGAUCGUCAAAUAUGGGCAUGGGGGCGAAAGACUAAUCGAACCUUCUAGUAGCUGGUUUC